UCGACUUCACUGGCAGACGUCAAAUGUUAGUAGCAUUUGACGCAGGUAGCCCUAAUAUAGCCCUAUUUUUCUAUGAUUUUACGUCAACAUGGCCUAACAUUUGACAUAAUCAUCGAUUCAGGGUCAAACCAAGAGUUCCCUGACUCCAGUUCACUCUGCCUAUAUUGAUAUCUGUGAAAGACA